ACUAGUCCUAGCCCAUUCAACCUCAACAAUUUAACUACAACUUUACUCAUCAAACAAAACAUUUACCCUUAUUAAAGUAUAGGAGAUAGAAAUUCUUAAUUGGAGCUAUAGAGCUAGUACCGCAAGGGAAAGAUGAAAGAAUAAACUCAUAGUAAAACAAAGCAAAGAUUAACCCUUUUACCUUUUGCAUAAUGAAUUAACUAGAAAUAACUUCGCAAAAUGAAUUUAAGUCAAGAACCCCGAAACCAGACGAGCUACUUAUGAGCAGCUGUUAGAGCUAAUCCGUCUAUGUUGCAAAAUAGUGGAAUGACUUGUAAGUAGAGGUGAAAAGCCUAUCGAGCCUGGUGAUAGCUGGUUAUCCAGAUAAGAAUUUUAGUUCAACUUUAAAUUUACUCCAAGCAUUAAUAAUCUCAAAAGUAAAUUUAAUUGUUAAUCUAAAGAGGGACAGCUCUUUAGAUACAGGAAACAACCUUCAUUAGAGAGUAAGAUCUAAAAAUCCCAUAGUAGGCUUAAAAGCAGCCAUCAAUUAAAAAAGCGUUCAAGCUUAAACACCACAUAAAUAAACUUAAUCCCCCAAUUUAUAACAAACUCCUAAUUUUAUACUGGAUUAAUCUAUUAUUACUUAUAGAAGAAACAAUGUUAGUAUGAGUAACAAGAAAAUUUUCUCCCUGCAUAAGUUUAUAUCAGCUCGAAUAAAUCACUGAUAGUUAACAAAUCUAUAAUACAAGAUAAACAACUCCACUAUUAUUAUCAAUAAUGUUAAUCCAACACCGGUAUGCAUACAAGGGAAAGAUUAAAAGAAGUAAAAGGAACUCGGCAAACACUAACCCCGCCUGUUUACCAAAAACAUCACCUCUAGCAUAAAUAGUAUUAGAGGCAUUGCCUGCCCAGUGACAUACGUUUAACGGCCGCGGUAUCCUGACCGUGCAAAGGUAGCAUAAUCACUUGUUCUUUAAAUAGGGACUUGCAUGAAUGGCUGAACGAGGGUUUAUCUGUCUCUUACUUCCAAUCAGUGAAAUUGACCUCCCCGUGAAGAGGCGGGGAUAAAAAAAUAAGACGAGAAGACCCUAUGGAGCUUUAAUCUAAUUAGCUUAAGCAUAAAUUAAUAUCAAUUUCUAUAAGAAAAUAAAACCUUCUGCUCAUGAGCUAUAGAUUUUGGUUGGGGUGACCUCGGAGCAUAACAAAACCUCCGAAUGAUUUUAAUCCAGACUUACCCGUCUAAAUUUAUAUUCAUUAAUUGACCCAAACUAUUGAUCAACGGAACAAGUUACCCUAGGGAUAACAGCGCAAUCCUACCCAAGAGUCCAUAUCGACAGUAGGGUUUACGACCUCGAUGUUGGAUCAGGACAUCCAAAUGGUGCAGCAGCUAUUAAUGGUUCGUUUGUUCAACGAUUAAAGUCCUACGUGAUCUGAGUUCAGACCGGAGAAAUCCAGGUCGGUUUCUAUCUAUUCGAUAUUUCUCCUAGUACGAAAGGACAAGAGAAAUGAGGCCAAUCCUUACACCCAUGCCUUAUAAGCAAAUAGAUGAUAUUAUCUUAAUCUAGUAAUCUAUUUUAAAACUCGCUCUAGAUACAGAGCUU
rnacentral:rRNA from 1 species